rnacentral:tRNA from 1 species
UUCCCUGUGGCUCAGUUGGUAGAGCAUGGUGUUUGCAACGCCAGGGUUAUGGGUUCGAUUUCCACGGGGGGC